rnacentral:rRNA from 1 species
UACGUAGGGGGCUAGCGUUGUCCGGAAUCAUUGGGCGUAAAGCGCGCGCAGGUGGUUUCUUAAGUCUGAUGUGAAAGCCCACGGCUCAACCGUGGAGGGUCAUUGGAAACUGGGGAACUUGAGUGCAGAAGAGGAAAGUGGAAUUCCAAGUGUAGCGGUGAAAUGCGUAGAGAUUUGGAGGAACACCAGUGGCGAAGGCGACUUUCUGGUCUGUAACUGACACUGAGGCGCGAAAGCUAGGGGAGCAAACAGG